GACUUUACCUAUCUCAGCAUAGACACAGUGUUGUAUAAUUCCAUCAUGAAUGCCUGCCACAUCCUUUGGUCUGCCUGGAACUGCCUGGAAUCGAGAGCUCUACAUUUGUCUCAGGGAAUAUGCGAGUCUGCUUCUACUAUCCUUUCAGCAGUUGAAUGAUGAUCAUGUGCCUGCCAUGUGCCAGGACCAUCUGGACUGGAAGAAGGUGUAUGGAAAAGGUGACAAUCAGGAUAUCAGAUAAUCCAACGCUGGAUGGGAGUAUAAACUGGAUGCAUGACCAAAGAACAGAGUAUCCUCGAGGACAGGAAUCCUGGCCUCAAAGCAGUCAUGGCAAAGAGCAAGUGGAAGACAAUUUCUGCCCAGCUGUCCCAUGGCCAGUGGGGGAAAGGAUACCUGUUUUUAUAAAGCCAGGUACUUCUGUGUGCUACACUCAUAGGUGGUGAAUACAUUCUGGGUGAAGUCACAUCUCAUGCAGGCCAGGUCACUGUCCUGGAGUGGCCCGCAUGAGUCAGUGCAAGGCUCAGACUCACUCAGGGUAGUAGCAGGGAAAGUACAAUCAGAGCAGAGCUUCCCAUCUUUACUGUGAGAGCAGCUGGCAUGGAAUCCUUCUCAAAUGUCAGCCCAUUCCUUACCUAAUUUCACAAGUCGAAGGACAGCAAAGCCUGGAAGAGUUUCAGGUUCCCUUUGGCCUCACCAUCUCAUACAUGGCCUGGGGCACAGAAGGGACGUGGACAGGCUCAUGCACCGGUCCUGAGGGGGUAUGGCCAAGGCCCCUCCUGCUGCAAGGAGCUUCUAGAGGGGACUGCAAGCCCCUUGGGGGCAGGGACUUUGCAUGCUGUCACGUCAGGCUGCUGUAGUGCUCCCUGACCCACCAAUACUUAUGUUUCCAAGUGAUAGAACCCAGGGUGAUGCUUCCAGACACUCUUCCCUAGAGUCUGGACCUUGGUUGCAUUUUGUACAUGGAGACAAAUUAUAAAUGUAACUCUCAGAGAGGUCUUCUACUUCUCUUUUAGAGCUUAGACCACAGCCAGACCCAAACUGGAGGUAUUUGCUAGUCAUCCCACACACCUGUGCCACACGCAUUCGGGUUUAGGCAGCAAUGCCCAGGACCCCCACCGAGACUAGUCAUAUGCUAGCUGUCAGCAGCACAGCAGCAAGCCGUGAGACAUAGAGACAGGAAGUCCACCUCAAGGGGCUCAGAGUCAUAGGACUUUCAAUUAUAUCCAACCAGCAGUCAGGGAAAGGGGAAGCGGGAGGGGGAAGGGAGAAAGAGAGAGACUGAACCGGAGCACCAGAGGGGGUGAGGGGAUGAGCAGGAGCAUGGAAAAGAGUUGGAAGCACACCAAGCCCCAGCACAGCAGUGUGGUGACAGAUCUAGACACACAGGCAGAGAUGAUGAAGAGGACCUACUCUCCAUCCACAGAGAACUCCUCCCAAGAUCUUGCCUCUAGAUAUAAGAUCCCGGAUGGGCACCUACCACCCAAAGGAAGCGGGAGGCUGCAAGAGAAGAGCUAGACCUCUCCAUGAUGCCUUCCUCAGAAAUGCCACAUCUGCCCUGAAGCCUGGAAAGAGCUUAAGAAUUCAUGGUCCAACCCUACCCAAGGACUGCUCUGAGCUCCCCUUCUCUGUGGAAUGCUCCCCAGUUCAUCUGAAUAGAAACUUCUCCCCUUCCCACUGGAAGGAGAAGGACCCCUAGUGUGGUGCUCUAUCCUGUUUGCCACUGGCUGUGUGGGCCAUGUUGACUUCAUUAGCAGAGACUGUAUGUAUCAUGUCGGGCUUUUUAGUAGUGGCUAUCUGCACCACGCUGAGAUAUGAAAGAGCACAGUAGGUAUCCCAAAGGGCUCACACCCCUUCUCCAGUAAGGCUGACAGUAAAAACCAUUCAUCCAUCCUCACUUAUUCCACUAAUAUCUAGCUCCUGCUGAUACUGUACCGAGUGUGUGCUGGCACCUCAGCCUGGGCCCAGGGCUCCUCAGGGCAGGUACUCACAGCUCUGUGCAGCAAAGAGAGCCAGAAUGCUGAUUCCUAUGCGAAGGGCAAAAAGUUGAGACUCAGAAAGCGAAGGUCUGAUGGCAGCCAGACUCAGCUCUUCCCUGGCCUCUCUUCUCUCUUGUCUUACCUGCUCCCAUGUACCCCUCUAUGUCCACAUCUGCACCCUGAUUUUGAACAUGACUCUUCUGGCCCUCUCACUGGGGCAGGGGCGGGCAGGCCAUGCUGGGCAUGUGGGAAGGCCACCUCACACACUGAACUAAGCACUUCUGCGAGCUCAGCACCUCAUGUAACUCCUGGUCCAAAGUAGAUUCUCUAAGAAGUGAUUUGAAUGAUUGAGGCUCUGGGUUUAGACCUCUCAGAUCCUAGAAGCUUUACUGUUUCAUUCAAGCUUCAGCAGAGAGGACCACUCUCCCCAACCUCCUCACUCCUUUGUCACCUUAUUGUUGGAUAAAACAUGUGCCACCAGACAAAACUGGAAUCAUCCUUGAGACAAGCUGGGACUUCCUCAGUUGUGACAGAGGCCAGAGUUAAGAGAGCAAGACCUUGAGCCAGGGCGGCCCUUUCAGUACUCAUGUCAUAAAGGACAGAACGAAUGCAAACAUGGACUUGGGGGUUAGCCUAAGACAGCAGAAAUGCACAGCAGCAAGGACCAAACUACAAGUGAAGAUAGGGGAGGUCUAAGAUGAUUUAUUUCCCUUUUAUUCUGAAGCAAGGACUCUGAGGGGGUGCAAUUUGCAGGCUAUGACAGCAGCAAGAGCACCUGUCCUGUUCCAUGCAGACUGCUGGUCACCUCUCGAGCUAGAUCCCAGCCCAGUCCAUGGUCUUCCAGGCAGCAUAAAAAGCCGUGUCUGUACCCUCAUCACCUCCAGCACAUCCUGGAGGGGGUUUCCCUUCAAAUGAGCUCAGCAACACCUCCCACCCUGGGUGGAAGGGAUAGUGUGCAGGGAAUGACAUACAGUCCUCCAGGGCUCAGAGUCCAACAGGGCCUCAGGUGAGGUGGGUGGUGGGAAGGACAGUGUGUGAAGACACAUUCAAGCUGCAUCAGGAGCACUGCGAGGGGCCACAGGACUCAGGUUUGAGAAUUUCAGAAGAUCUCACGGAGGAACUAAUGUCUGAAUGAACUGGCUUGAGGUUGAGCGGAUGUUUGCAGCUGGAGAAGAGACUGAAAAGCAGGGCACCCACCCUGGUCACAGGGCAAGGAGGUAUGCUUUGUGUAUCGGGGAGGAGCCAGCCCUUCAGACGGGUGAGGGGCAAGGGGACCUGCCACUGAGUGACAGAACAAAUCCAGCCCUGCUGCAGGGAGGGCACAAAUGCCCAAUGAUGGGUUGGCAAUGACAGGGAUUUUUUAAGCAAGAAAGUCAUGGUCCCAGCACGGUCCAAGCAGUAUUGGCGAUGGAAAGCUAUGCUUUCAAUGGAGGGCUUGCAGGGAGACGCCAGGGAGGCACCAGAGCAGGAGGCUUCAGCAAGCGUCCUGAGAAAGAAGCAGGAGUCCAAUCCAGGCACAGGAGCAGGCAAAUCCAGGAGAUGCUGGGCAGGUCAAGUGGAUGGACUCAGCGUGGUCAGAGGAGACAGUAGGACUUUGGAUGUGAGCAGCUGCCAGCAAAAAGCUGGAGCAAACGAUGGUUCCCUUCAUCCGGCUGUGGGCUCGGGAGGGGACAGAAGAUUCUUUAGUCUUCCAACAGCCAGAGGUGUGGGCAAAUUGUUACCGGUCCUAGAACCCAGGAAUUUGCUGCUCCCUUACGGUGUACAAACCUCAGUCUGUGCUUGGAGGCAGAAGGAUCCCAAACUAAAAUGAAAACUUCAUCUUCGGCACAGCCUCUCUCUCGGCUGAGUCUCCAAAAUGUUAUGCUGCCAAAGGUACCUUGUACAAGAUUAGCAGAUUUUUCCCGUUUACCAAUUUAUGUGUUUUUCUUCCAGCCAUCCAAAGGCGUGUUUCAGGAUUUUCAAGUUUCCUUCUGGCACAUUACACAAUGAGAAAGGGCAACAUGGCCCCCAGUCACCAAGGCUCCCAUGUGCCUGGGAGAAAAUGUUUACAGUACCAUUUAGCCUGGAGCAAAUCCACCAUCAGCAUUUUUAUAAAGCUCAGAGAAAAAAGAAACAAAAGCUGUUGAAAUGUGAAAAUAAUUAGAGAAGAGACAUUCCCAGGGAACAAACAUGGCCCACGCGGGAUGGAGGGAAGAACAAACAAACUUUGGGGAGGUUAUGGAGCUGUAAAAUCCUUGUUUAUUUCUGAAGAAAGAAAUAAAGUUGGAGGAAUGCCA